UUCAAAAAAAAAAAAAAGUUGCAUGAGUUUGAGUUCGAAUAGUUGUUUAUAUUUUCAAAACUUUGGCUGUGCAACGUGGUGGAAACCCAAGUAGGAAUACAGUAGAACACAACGACAAGUGGUUGAAAUUGAUUGGAGCAGAGGCCGCUCUACUUGGCAUGAUGAGAUCAUGUAAAGAAGGUGAAAGCAAGAAAAGAUGCACAUAUCACGUUCUGUUAAUAUAACAAAAUUAAUAAACUACUAUAAAUCACUAUGGGAAAUUGGGUCAUUCCUCCAACAAGGCAACAACAAAACCCCAUCAAUUCCCACU
rnacentral:lncRNA from 1 species